rnacentral:sRNA from 1 species
CAACCGCUCAGAACAGGUUUAAGUGAUUAUUUAAUCCACCUAUAUGGCGUGUCUUAUAAU